rnacentral:rRNA from 1 species
CCAUAUGUACAUAUCACCCUGUAGCCCAAGACUGGUUGCCCACUGAAGCUAAUAAUCAGGGUUGAAUCUGGUCAGUACCUGGAUGGGAGACCUCCUGGGAAAACUAGGUUGCUGCUGGA